rnacentral:rRNA from 1 species
AUUGAACGCUGGCGGCAUGCUUUACACAUGCAAGUCGAACGGUAACAGGCCUUCGGGCGCUGACGAGUGGCGAACGGGUGAGUAAUGCAUCGGAACGUGCCCAGUCGUGGGGGAUAACGCAGCGAAAGCUGUGCUAAUACCGCAUACGAUCUGCGGAUGAAAGCGGGGGACCUUCGGGACUCGCGCGAUUGGAGCGGCCGAUGUCAGAUUAGGUAGUUGGUGGGGUAAAGGCUCACCAAGCCAACGAUAUGUAGCUGGUCUGAGAGGACGACCAGCCACACUGGGACUGAGACACGGCCCAGACUCCUACGGGAGGCAGCAGUGGGGAAUUGUGGACAAUGGGCGCAAGCCUGAUCCAGCAAUGCCGCGUGCAGGAAGAAGGCCUUCGGGUUGUAAACUGCUUUUGUACGGAGCGAAAAGGCUCCCUCUAAUACAGGGGGCUCAUGACGGUACCGUAAGAAUAAGCACCGGCUAACUACGUGCCAGCAGCCGCGGUAAUAC